AUGCCCUGUCCAGGGCCCAGGCCCAGGCCAGGGAGGAGCCUGCAACCAAGGUACGUGUCCUUGACUGGAAUCGAACCUGGGAUCCUCUGGUCCACAGGCCAGUGUUCUAUCUAGUGAGCCAAUCUGGCUAGGGCGCCAAAUGUCUUUUUGACAUAUACAGUGUUCCUGAGAUGGCUGCUGUUAAUUCUAGCUGUUAAAGUUGAUUUAGUAACAAACGUACCAGGAUCAGAAUUCACCAUAGACUCUUUGUGUGUGUGUGUGUGUGUGUGUGUGUGUGUGUGUGUGUGUGUGUGUGUAGAAGGCACCCUAUACGAUUCCAUUGACAUCUAAGCAUUCCCUCAUGUUCAGUUCAUGACAGAUAAACACCAUCAUGGUUUUCAGCUUCCAGAGGCUGUACUGGAUUCCCAUUACCUGUAACCUUUGUACAACCCAGCAACAGUAAUCUGUUAGCUUGAGUCUCAGAUCAUCCCCUUCUGUGUGCCAGGAUUGUCCAAUGAGCUUUUACAUUUUCCUACACAUCAAUGAACAAAAAUCACAACUCCUGCUCUGAAAACACAGACAUUUAGAAAUUCCACCGUCCAUGGAGAGCCCAGCCAUCAUGCAACCUUGUCCCUGAAAUCAGGUUGUUCUCAAUCACUUUAGAAAAAGAACCAAUUUAAGUAUCAAUAUGCAUGGCCAUCACAUAUUGAUCUUUGCAUUUUCUUUCAAAUGAUGCAGGCUUUAAACUUAAAAUAAAUGACCCUCUCUUCUCGCCCUUCCUCCUGCCUCCAAACUCUCUUAGCAAAACCCAAGGACUCAUAGGCAUCGUUAGCUACAACAUUUCCCAGAUUCUUCGGCUCUUUAGGGUCUUCAAGUUGUCACUUCAUCCAAAGUUCCCAAGCCUUGAAUAGCCACAGAGACUUCCAGUUAAAGGGGAAAAUAUUGGUAGCCGAAUGAAUAAUCUGAAUGGAGGUUGAUGGGGAGCUCAGAUGGGCAAAGGUGACCUUCAUCACACUCUCUUCCCCUUCCCUUCACGACAAGACACCCUUCUCCUCAGGGCACCACUGAUAGAGUCAGGAAACCAGUUCUGUGCUUUUGAGUCUUAACUCCCCGAGUAUUGAACAUGCAUGUGGACACACAAGUUUGAGAUCAAAAGAAAAGAAAAGAAAACGAUGGCUUUUCCACACAACUCACUGCUUUAAAAACUCAAACUAGCUCUGAGUGUUGAUUUACAUUUGGCCUUCUAGCUCUUCUAGUGAAGACGGGUAGUGUGUCUCUAUGCACAUUCAGAGCUCUCUGCACUGUGGGAAAAGCAUGCUCAUCAGAUCACCUUUGGUGUCCACCAUUCUUCUUAAAGCCACCAGAAGUAAAGAGUGAGCGGCUCAGUUUUGUUUUUCUUUAGCCAGAAGGUAGCCGAUGGAUGGGUUGUAUACUCUCCAAGUGUGGCCUCACCCCUCUAAUCCGUUACCUUUUCUCUGGGUGCCGUAUUUUAAAAUGGUGACUCUGUAGAAUCAACAACAUCAGGGAAACAAUGAGAAUAUUUUCUGAUAUCCAAAUCAAUGCCACUCUCUGAAUUUCCUUAAAGUUCAUUAUUUUUAGAGGAAAUAAUAAAGGUUUGGCUUCUUGGUGGGUUCUUCCCAAAGGAGAAAAUCUCUAUAGUAAUAUGGAAACUAAGGUAAAGGACAUAGACCUGUCUUCCAACUUCUUUUAUCAGCUUGCUCGUUCAUGGGUUUCCUAGCUUAGCACUGUUGUCUGCAUUUAUCUUUUCUUCCAGCCCCAGACCAUGAUUUCACUUCACAGUUCAGCUUCAAACCCCAAAGUCCAAUGACAAUCCCAAAGGCAGUGGCCUCACUUGUUUGUUGAAAUUGCUUGCAGACUCCAAUACAAACAUGUGUAGUGCCCAAAAUGAUGUUAACCACUCAUUUCUGGCCACAAUAGAAUAUGACUUAAGAGGAAAAUUACCCAACCCAGCUGCUCUUCCUUCAAAGGCCCAAGGCAAGUUUUAUUAUAAGGUCUAAUAUUUUGAAUGCGGAUUUGGCUAAAAGUUCCCUUAGGUAUUUUUUUUUUACAACUUUCAAGAUUUGGGGACAGCAGAAUCCAUGUGGGCAGUCCAUUCAGAAGUGUUGGUUCUGAGUUUUGAUAUAUGAGCAUAGUUAGUUCCUUUCUCCAUGUGUUAGGUCAGCUCAGGUCAUAUGUGAUGGGCAGAGAAAUAACAAGUACAUGAAAUCCAGGAAAACAGAGAAGAAGGUGAUAGCCUGGCAGAAGCCACAGACACGAGGGGCUACUCAGGAAGUUCUGUUUCGUACAGCAGGACACAAGGAAGUGCCUGAACUUUCCCCUGCUUUCACUGAACUCAGUCUCCAAGUCGUAAGAGCAUCAGCCUCAUUCCUUGAAAAAAGGCCCUGAAUCCCAGAAAUGCAAAAGUACAACCUGGGGAAAACCCAGCCAUGCCAAGAUUAACUGCCUACUGUCCAUACCUGCCCACACUGACAACUAUAAUAAAGCAACACAAUGCAAAUCUCCCAAAAUCUAACUGCCACUGCCCAAGAAUAAAGAGUUUCGAAUGUCCUAGUUCAAGUGACAAGUAAUAUCGAUCUGACAGCCCCAAGGAAGUAGCCUGGAUGUUUUUAAAAUACAUUAACGUAUGCUUGUGUUACAAGGAGAUAUUGGUUUCUUUUCAAAAACACAUCCCUACCUCAAAGUCCCUCAUCUUGCUUCGUGUCUCUACGUAGGCCCUUUUUCACUGCAGAUAGAAAAGAGGCUUUUAGAGAAAUUUUGCUUGUAAAAGGAGUUUGGGUCGGGAACUGAAAAACUAAACCCCAAUUUAAGUCUUGAUUCCAAAUGACUCCAUCAGAAAACCUGCAAAGGUCAAUGAUAUUUGCAGAGCUGUACACAGUGACUCUCUAAACCCCAGAAAACUGACCCACCCUCUCUGUAGACACCAGGAGCAGGUGAGGGGUGAUGUACCUGGUGGCAAGGUGCUUCCCCAGAGAAGAAUUUCAUUUUGAAGGCUCCAGAAUUCAGUUUUGUUUCCCAGGGUGAAGAGAGAACACUCUUUUAGGUAAACUGCUGGAUUGAAUACUUACAUCUGCCUUCUGAAGGAGUUCCGAGUGUCACCCUAAGUGUGAUGUAUGUUUGCCUGAUGAUGCGGCGGGGGAAAACAAAUGUUUCUGAAGAAUAAAGAGAUGAAAGCUCUAAGUAAGAAGUGUGGUACUGGUCUGGAAGAAAACAGAGACAGCGUGGAUGACUGGCAGGUGGAGUUAUCUGUGAGGCAUUCUGUACAGACAGGAAGGUGCCCUGACAGAAUUGUACACACAGAAGGCGGAGCCAAUUAGACAGUUGUCCCAUAGGGAAAUCAGAGCUUUCACUAGAGGCUGUAGGGCUCAGAAAUUCAGCCAGGCCUGGCAACCCAACAUAAUCACACCGGGAAAGGGCAUUUUGCUUAGACCCCUUAAAAUCGAAAGUUACUGAUUAUUUAAAAGAGGAUUAAGGCAAAAUAGCCCCAUCACGUCAAGUCCAAUGAUGGUACUCAAGGGGUAGGCCGAGGUCCCCUGUCACAGUGAGAGCUUGGAGCUCCAAGUCCACUGACAACAAGUAUUUUGACCGCAAACCAUUCUUUCUGACUUCCUUAAAAGAGGGCCAAAUAGAUGAGGUGGAUGACUUGGCAGAUUUGAAGAAUUUUAUCUGCCUUCUGCUUCUGAGUUAAGUAUGGCCUCUCAAAGUCUCAAAUCCUAAAACCUCUCAGUGAAAAGGAAAACCAAAGGAUUAGCGUCCAGGUUCAUGAUUCUCCUUGCACAUCAAUCACAACAGAAGCAAAAAGAGAAGCUAAGAGAAAGAGUGCAGUUAAUGUCUACAAGAAGUGUGCCUUUCAUUUCCAAGUUGAAGUAGGUUAUGCUGGUUAUUGAAAAUAAAAAGAAGGGGAAAAAACAACAGUAGGACUCGAUUCAAUUCUGAAGGAAAUUGUUCCCUUGGCUUCCACAGCAAGGAAUACUUACCUGAGGAAAUCAAGAGGCAAUUUUCAUGGGACUGAACAGUCCAUCUUUCUGAAUUCAUCGUCCUACAUCUACAUCUGUCUUCCUAAUCUGCCUCAACAGCAACUGAGCUAAAUCCUCACUAAAUGGAAGAACUCCAGAGUUAAUUAAUUAGAGUUUUGCAUUUGAUGGCCUAGGACAGGUGUACCUGACCUAGGGGCCAAACCUAGCCCAUCCUCUGACUCUCUAAACAAAGUUUUAUUGGAACACAGCCCUGAGGUCACUCACGGACAUAUUGUGAAUAUGUCCUACCUACCAGUUGCAACAGAGACUGUAUGAAAUACAAAGCUAAAAAUAUUUAUUGACUGCCCUUUCCGGAAAACAUUUGCUAAUUCCUGGUCUAGAAUGUCAAGUCCAUGUUCUGCAGAGCAGAGGUUAUUGACCUUAUGGGGUCUUUACACUGUACCCCGCUCUCUCCCCUCAACAAAAAAUGUUCACAAAACUACGUGUUCCAUGUACAAUGUGCAUUUUCCUGGGGAAAAGGUACUAGCAAUUAACAGAUUCCCAGAGGAUUCCAGAGUACCCCAAUUUAAAAGUGCCUCUAGCUAAGAGCACGUUUACCAGUUCUAAAACACACACACACACACACACACACACACACACACACACACCCCUAGAUGAGAGGAAUGCAGAUCUGCCAGAAUAAAGUAUCUUUUCUUCUAUCAGAUUUCCUCUUUCUAGAUUAACUCUGGCAUUUUUUCCAUCUGAGUCUAUAAAUGUUCAGGGGUCCAACUAAAAACUGUGCAUUCUAAUUCAACAAAAAUGGAAGACUCCUUGAAGCCAGCAAUCUCCCUUUAAUUACAUAGCUAGACACUAAGAGGGCAAAAUCCCCAGCACAACAGAGGUUUAAUUCAUGUUACUAGAUCUGACCACCAGUUCGAAGGAAUUUUAUGAAUAUAUGAACUCCACCUUCAAGGUCAGAGGGAGCUAUAUCACCCACAAUGCAUUUGGGUAGGAGAGAGAAAACAGGCAUCCACGGCACUGUCAUGCGAGAGAGAACGUGUUUUGUGAGACACGUCUAGAAGAAGCAGAGUCGUUUCUGAGCAGAGCUGAUGAAGCCCCUUGGUCACCAAAAGCGUUUUUGGUGUUCAACUAUGAAAAGGUCAGCCCCUCCUUGCCUCCUUUGCAAUUAUGUUCCAAAGAUACAAAGUCCACUGCAUUUGGGGAAGCCAGGGCCACCCUCAGUCUCAGUGCCAGCUCCUCUAAUGCUGGG